ACACGGGGGGGGCGAGCGUUAUUCGGAAUUACUGGGCGUAAAGGGCGCGUAGGCGGUCCGUUAAGUGUGAAGUGAAAUGCCUGGGCUCAACCUGGGACGUGCUUUGCAUACUGGUGGACUUGAGUCCAAGGGGGGGUGGUGGAAUUCCUGGUGUAGGGGUGAAAUCCGUAGAUAUCAGGAGGAACACCGUUGGCGAAGGCGGCCACCUGGAUUGGUACUGACGCUGAGGCGCGAAAGCGUGGGGAGCGAACAGGAUUAGAAACCCUAGUAGUCC
rnacentral:rRNA from 1 species